AGCUUUUUAACAAAUUGGCUGCUACGAAGACUGGUUGCUUCAAAUUUUGUUUUGGUGCUUUUGGAGAUUUGAUUGUACAAGAAAAUGAUCUACCUUGCAAUAUCAUUUUUCUUGCAAAUGAAGAAAUUCAGAGCAUCUAAGUCUUAAAUGUAUCUGCUAAAGUGUUGAUAUUAAUCCUUUAUGUUGUCCGGAAGUCAACGAACAACCAGACCAGGAAGGCGUGGAGCUUGAGCUUGAGCUGCAGCGACAAUGACAACUUGGGCGUCAACUUCAAAAAACAACAGUUCAAGUACUGCUCUCCUCCAGUUCAGUGGAAGCGUAGGAGGCAACCAUGGAGGUGAUAGACGCAAUGGCUUGAGCAUGACGGAUGGUUGUCCCUAAGUUUCUACCACUAAGUUGGUGCAUGCUCCAAUAUUACCAGGUCAGUGCUUCAAAUCAUCAGACCUUGGCGCUAUUCCUUGUCAUAGAGGAGAAGUAUGAUCAUGACCCUGCUCAAGUUCGGCCUCACUGCUGUCGCUGUAGCUGCUUCUAUGAGUCUCUAUAAUCUUCUUCGCCACCGGUUCAGUAACCCUCUCGGUUUUGUUCUCUCCUCUUCUCUUGUGCUCUCUGACCCAGACAUUGAUCGAUGUGACUCUUGUGAUGCCAGCCAUCAAGCUUCUCGUGCUUUGGUUACUGCUAAUGCUUGGCUCCUAAUGUAUAGGCGAGAGGAAGAUACAGUUGUACCUAAGAUUAGUAGUUCGCAUAUCAAAAGUCACCAUUCAGUUAGCAUGCGCACUUUAGCUAGCUUCCAAUUCACUUGUAGGUCUGAGAGAAAAGAGAGUGCCCUACCUUCUAUCUAGCUUCCAAUUAACUUGUAGGUGUACUAAGUUAUCCUUCAAUUUUCAGAUCAUGUACAACCUGAUUCAGUGCACAUGUUUCAGGGGCUAUAUUCAGUACAAAAUGCUCAAUGAAAAACCCUGCAAGUACUCUUAUUCAGCUAUCGCUCCAUCUCACUUUGUGAUAUUUAUCGCAGCAUUGUUCAGUAUUGCAUCUGUAGCUAAUUUAAUAGCCUGUUGUCAGGUCGUAAUACCGUUGA